rnacentral:rRNA from 1 species
GACGAACGCUGGCGGCGUGCCUAAUACAUGCAAGUUGAGCGAUGAAGAUUGGUGCUUGCACCAAUUUGAAGAGCAGCGAACGGGUGAGUAACGCGUGGGGAAUCUGCCUUUGAGCGGGGGACAACAUUUGGAAACGAAUGCUAAUACCGCAUAAUAACUUUAAACAUAAGUUUUAAGUUUGAAAGAUGCAAUUGCAUCACUCAAAGAUGAUCCCGCGUUGUAUUAGCUAGUUGGUGAGGUAAAGGCUCGCCAAGGCGAUGAUACAUAGCCGACCUGAGAGGGUGAUCGGCCGCAUUGGGACUGAGACACGGCCCAAACUCCUACGGGAGGCAGCAGUAGGGAAUCUUCGGCAAUGAACGAAAGUCUGACCGAGCAACGCCGCGUGAGUGAAGAAGGUUUUCGGAUCGUAAAACUCUGUUGGUAGAGAAGAACGUUGGUGAGAGUGGAAAGCUCAUCAAGUGACGGUAACUACCCAGAAAGGGACGGCUAACUACGUG